GAGUUUGAUCGUGGCUCAGAACGAACGUUAGCGGCGCGCCUAACACAUGCAAGUCGAGCGAGAAAGGGAGCAAUCCCCGGUACAGCGGCGCACGGGUGAGUAACACGUAGGUAAUCUGCCCUUGAGUUGGGGAUAACCUUCCGAAAGGAGGGCUAAUACCGAAUGAGACCACGGAGUCGAGAGGCUCUGAGGUCAAAGCCGGCCACUUCACGAAAGCUGGUGCUCGAGGAUGAGCCUGCGGCCCAUCAGCUAGUUGGUAGGGUAACGGCCUACCAAGGCUAAGACGGGUAGCUGGUCUGAGAGGAUGAACAGCCACACUGGAACUGAGACACGGUCCAGACUCCUACGGGAGGCAGCAGUGGGGAAUCUUGCGCAAUGGGCGAAAGCCUGACGCAGCGACGCCGCGUGAGCGAUGAAGGCCUUCGGGUUGUAAGACUCUGUGGGGAGGAGGAAGAAUAAGUAGCACGCUAACAUACGUGCAUGAUGACGGUACCGUCCUUACGUCAAGCACC
rnacentral:rRNA from 2 species